ACGGAAGGCAGCAGUGGGGAAUAUUGCACAAUGGGGGAAACCCUGAUGCAGCGACGCCGCGUGAGUGAAGAAGUAUUUCGGUAUGUAAAGCUCUAUCAGCAGGAAAGAAAAUGACGGUACCUGACUAAGAAGCCCCGGCUAACUACGUGCCAGCAGCCGCGGUAAUACGUAGGGGGCAAGCGUUAUCCGGAUUUACUGGGUGUAAAGGGAGCGUAGACGGCUUUGCAAGUCUGAAGUGAAAGCCCGGGGCUCAACCCCGGGACUGCUUUGGAAACUGUAGAGCUAGAGUGCAGGAGAGGUAAGUGGAAUUCCUAGUGUAGCGGUGAAAUGCGUAGAUAUUAGGAGGAACACCAGUGGCGAAGGCGGCUUACUGGACUGUAACUGACGUUGAGGCUCGAAGGCGUGGGGAGCAAACAGGAUUAGAUACCCUGGUA
rnacentral:rRNA from 1 species